rnacentral:rRNA from 1 species
UAAUACCGGAUAUGACCUGUCACCUCAUGGUGGCGGGUGGAAAGUUUUGUCGGUCAGGGAUGGGCUCGCGGCCUAUCAGCUUGUUGGUGGGGUAACGGCCUACCAAGGCGAUUACGGGUAGCCGGCCUGAGAGGGCGACCGGCCACACUGGGACUGAGACACGGCCCAGACUCCUGCGGGAGGCAGCAGUGGGGAAUAUUGCACAAUGGGCGAAAGCCUGAUGCAGCGACGCCGCGUGGGGGAUGACGGCCUUCGGGUUGUAAACCUCUUUUACCACCAACGCAGGCUCCGGGUUUUCUCGGGGUUGACGGUAGGUGGGGAAUAAGGACCGGCUAACUACGUGCCAGCAGCCGCGGUAAUACGUAGGGUCCGAGCGUUGUCCGGAAUUAUUGGGCGUAAAGAGCUCGUAGGCGGCGUGUCGCGUCUGCUGUGAAAGACCGGGGCUUAACUCCGGUUCUGCAGUGGAUACGGGCAUGCUAGAGGUAGGUAGGGGAGACUGGAAUUCCUGGUGUAGCGGUGAAAUGCGCAGAUAUCAGGAGGAACACCGGUGGCGAAGGCGGGUCUCUGGGCCUUACCUGACGCUGAGGAGCGAAAGCAUGGGGAGCGAACAGGAUUAGAUACCCUGAUAGUCCAUGCCGUAAACGUUGGGCGCUACGAGUGAUGGGGACUAUCCACGGUCCCUCCGCGCCGAAGCUAACGCAUUACUAGCGCCACCGCCUGGGGAGGACGGACCGCAACGCCUAAAACUCAAAGGAAUUAGACGGCGGGCCCGUCACAAGCGGCGGAGCAUGUUGCUUAAUUCGACGCAACGCGAAGAACCUUACCAAGGUUUGACAUCACCCGUGGACCUGUAGAGAUACAGGGUCAUUUAGUUGGUGGGUGACAGGUGGUGCAUGGCUGUCGUCAGCUCGUGUCGUGAGAUGUUGGGUUAAGUCCCGCAACGAGCGCAACCCUUGUUCUAUGUUGCCAGCACGUUAUGGUGGGGACUCAUAGGAGACUGCCGGGGUCAACUCGGAGGAAGGUGGGGACGACGUCAAGUCAUCAUGCCCCUUAUGUCUUGGGCUGCAAACAUGCUACAAUGGCCGGUACAAUGGGCGUGCGAUACCGUAAGGUGGAGCGAAUCCCUUAAAGCCGGUCUCAGUUCGGAUUGGGGUCUGCAACUCGACCCCAUGAAGGUGGAGUCGCUAGUAAUCGCGGAUCAGCAACGCCGCGGUGAAUACGUUCCCGGGCCUUGUACACACCGCCCGUCA